UACGUAGGGUGCAAGCGUUGUCCGGAAUUAUUGGGCGUAAAGAGCUCGUAGGCGGUCUGUCGCGUCUGCUGUGAAAACUCGGGGCUUAACCCCGGGCCUGCAGUGGGUACGGGGCAGACUAGAGUGCGGUAGGGGAGACUGGAAUUCCUGGUGUAGCGGUGAAAUGCGCAGAUAUCAGGAGGAACACCGAUGGCGAAGGCAGGUCUCUGGGCCGAUACUGACGCUGAGGAGCGAAAGCGUGGGGAGCGAACAGG
rnacentral:rRNA from 1 species